AAGAAUUUAGUUUAAAAAAAACUUUAAUAUGUCAAAUUAAAAAUACUCAAUUGUAAUUCUUU
rnacentral:tRNA from 1 species